AUGAACAUCAAAAUCAAUUCAGUCCUCGAUCCUUGCAAAGAAGUAGUUCCAUCUUGGUGCCCGCCGAGUGCGGGGAAAGUUAAGUUGAACUCUAGUGGUUCCUUCACCGUGGAUGGAAGAGCAGGUGCUGGUAUGGUUUUGAGAGAUUCUAAUGGUGCAAUCAUCUUUUCUGCAUGUCGUACGUUGUAUAGAUGCUGUGAUGCCUUGGAAGCAGAAUUGUGCGCUUGA
rnacentral:rRNA from 1 species